rnacentral:rRNA from 1 species
UACAGAGGGUGCGAGCGUUAAUCGGAAUUACUGGGCGUAAAGGGUGCGUAGGCGGUUAUGUAAGUUAGAUGUGAAAUCCCCGGGCUUAACCUGGGAAUUGCAUUUAAUACUGUGUGACUAGAGUAGAGUAGAGGGAAGUGGAAUUUCCGGUGUAGCGGUGAAAUGCGUAGAUAUCGGAAAGAACAUCAGUGGCGAAGGCGGCUUCCUGGACUCAUACUGACGCUGCGGCACGAAAGCAUGGGGAGCAAACAGG